rnacentral:rRNA from 1 species
CAGCCGCCGCGGGAAUACGUAGGGCGCAAGCGUUAUCCGGAAUUAUUGAGCGUAAAGAGCUCGUAGGCGGUUUGUCGCGUCUGCCGUGAAAGUCCGGGGCUCAACCCCGGAUCUGCGGUGGGUACGGGCAGACUAGAGUGAUGUAGGGGAGACUGGAAUUCCUGGUGUAGCGGUGAAAUGCGCAGAUAUCAGGAGGAACACCGAUGGCGAAGGCAGGUCUCUGGGCAUUAACUGACGCUGAGGAGCGAAAGCAUGGGGAGCGAACAGGAUUAGAUACCCCUGUAGUCCCUGUCUCUUAUAC